rnacentral:misc_RNA from 1 species
UAAAAAUCUAUGCCUUUUUCUCUCUCCAAUCCCCAAUUUCCUUAACCCUAACGCAACCCAUAACGCUGGCGCGCUUCGAACCGCCAAUUUCCCCCUGGGAUUUCAUGGAUUUCUGUUCCUGUUUCGUGAUUUCAUCGCUACGCGGUUGAAGAUUCCGAUCGAUCUUUGCUAUUUUCAUCUCCCGCCGGUGAUUUCCGGGAUCUCGAUUGCUGCUUGAGGAAUGGUGCUGUUUUGAGGAUCUGAUCUCUCGCCGUUGCUGUUCUUCUGUUGGGUCGACUUGCGAAGAUAAGAUUUCUGAUUCUGUUGGAUUUUAUUUUCUGAUCGGGCUGAAGACUCUCGGUGGUUGCUUGCUUCCUGGGGGCUUUAAGGGUUUUGUUUAUCUCCCUUUUGAGUUAUUUGUUUCUCGACGAGCUCUUCGAUAAAGGGAAUCUCUGCUAUUGCUUCUGCGAUCUACGGAACUCCAUUGAGAUUGAGAGGAGAUUCUUAUCGUCCUCAGGGUUUUGACUGAAUCCAUUGAGAUUUAUUGUACUUUUGUCGGACGAGAAUAACGGGAAUUUCAGCGAACGAAGUUCGUAGAAGCCCUCUUUUCGGCAGUUCGAUUUGUUCGAUCCCGGUUUUGUUGAAGGGAAAAGUGUUUGAUAUUUUGUAUUGUUUCAUUUGUUCGAGUUAAA